rnacentral:rRNA from 1 species
AUUGAACGCUGGCGGCAUGCCUAACACAUGCAAGUCGAGCGGAGCGGCGGACGGGUGAGUAAUGCCUAGGAAGCUGCCUGGUCGUGGGGGAUAACGUCCGGAAACGGGCGCUAAUACCGCAUAUUUUCAGAUGAGCCUGGGUGGGAUUAGCUCUGUGGUGGGGUAAAGGCCUACCAAGGCGACGAUCCGUAACUGGGCUGAGAGGAUGAUCAGUCACACUGGAACUGAGACACGGUGCAGACUCCUACGGGAGGCAGGAGGGGAGAAGAGUGGACAAUGGGCGAAAGCCUGAUCCAGCCAUGCCGCGUGUGUGAAGAAGGUCUGCGGAUUGUAAAGCACUUGAAGUUGGGAGGCGUUACCAACAGAAGAAGCACCGGCUAACUUCGUGCCAGCAGCCGCGGUAAUUC